CGUGUCGUGAGAUGUUGGGUUAAGUCCCGCAACGAGCGCAACCCUUGACCUUAGUUGCCAGCAUUCAGUUGGGCACUCUAAGGUGACUGCCGGUGACAAACCGGAGGAAGGUGGGGAUGACGUCAAAUCAUCAUGCCCCUUAUGACCUGGGCUACACACGUGCUACAAUGGAUGGUACAAAGGGCUGCGAGACCGCGAGGUUAAGCCAAUCCCAGAAAACCAUUCCCAGUUCGGAUUGCAGGCUGCAACCCGCCUGCAUGAAGCCGGAAUCGCUAGUAAUCGCGGAUCAGCAUGCCGCGGUGAAUACAUUCCCGGGCCUUGUACACACCGCCCGUCACACCACGAGAGUUUGUAACACCCGAAGUCGGUGAGGUAACCUUUACGGAGCCAGCCGCCGAAGGUGGGACAGAUGAUUGGGGU
rnacentral:rRNA from 1 species